rnacentral:lncRNA from 1 species
UUAUCUUUUAUAAUAAGAUUAAACUUUUAUGAUAAUUGUAUAUCCUUCAUGAUAGGCUUGUUACCGUGUUAUUGUAGAUUAUCAUAUAAGAUUGUAUUAUUAUAUUUGAUAAUUAUUUUACCAUUAAGUAAAAUAAUUAAUCAAGAAAGGAAGGGAGCUUUGAAAAACUGUUCACAUUCGAAGACCUAGUGCAAAAGCAUUUUGCCUCCGUCUUCAAAAUUCGAUCAAACUCAUACAUAAUUGAAAACUUUCAAAGCCAAACGUUCUCCUUCAAUCAUAUUUGAAGAAAACAAACAAGAGCAUUAAUAUACAAUCAUAUUCAUUGAUCAAGCUGCUUGGCGUGAGUUGAGAAUGGUGAUUCUUAUUUCAAGUGGUGGUUGCGGCCGAGUACAAUAGUGAAGUGGCAGUAAAGUCAAGAUUGAAAGGUUUGAUUCCACUUCUACAAUAUAUAUCAAAAGAAGAAGAAACAAUGGAGUUGUUCCUAGAUUUGUUUCGAUUAUUUUUAUUAAUUUUGUGAAAUUACAAAACUGAUACUAUUGUAUUUUUGAUCGUUUGAUUUUGUGGAUUGUUUUACCUGUGGCAUGGGAGCCCGUGGAUGUUUCCCUUCGGGGUUUAUUACGUUGUAUCUGGUUAUGAUAUUUUAAUAUGAGUUUAGUUUAUAUUGGACUUGAA